UUCACAGCAGGUGUCAGCAAUAAGCAGUGUGAAGUAUAAACAGUUUAUAAAGUAUAUCCAUACACAUCAUCUUUUUGAUCUUUACAACAAUCCUGAUAGCCAGUAGAAGUAUUGCUCCCUAUUUUAUUGAUAAGGAAGCUAAGAGGAUAAGUCAUUUGUCUAAAGUCACAGUUAAUCAACAGAAAGCCAGGUUUCCUGACUCCUAAUCAACUUUUUUUUUUCUUUUUUUGAGACAGAAUUUCGCUCUUGUUGUCCAGGCUGGAGUGUAAUGGCACAAUCUCGGCUCACUGCAACCUCUACCUCCUGGGUUCAAGCAAUUCUCCUGCCUCAGCCUCCCAAGUAGCUGGGAUUAUAGGCAUGCACCACCAUGCCCAGCUAAUUUUUCUAUUUUUAGUAGAGAUGGGGUUUCACCAUGUUAGUCAGGCUAGUCUUGAACCCCUGACCUCAGGUGAUCCACCCGCCUCAGCCUCCCAAAGUGCUGGGAUUACAGGCAUGAGCCACUGUGCCUGGCCUUCAACUGCUCUUUCUUAAAUCUUAUUGGGAGGACUGAGGGGUUACCAUCAAAGAAUGUGCGUUAUGUUUAAGCACCUUUCAAGCCUGCAUGGACCCAAAAGGGGGGAUUUUCAUUUUUACUUAUCCUUGAAAUGUCUUCUGACUCCCUGGCUCUUUUGCUUUUCCUGAAGACACAGACCAGACCUAAGAUGUCCCUCCCCUAUAAGAAAGACCUCAUCCUGUGUUUUCUCUCUCUUCUUCUCAGGCAGGAAAAACAUAUGAACAAUUAAAAGAAGAGCUGGGAGAUGCUGCUGCUAUCAUGCGAAUCACUGCUGUGAGUCGGGUUCGCUCUUGGGAGAAGCCAGCCACAUGGGCAACCAGAGCCAGAGAACACACAAAUGCUACAGAUGCUCACAGGACAUGAAGAAUGCAACCCUCUCCCUGAAUUCUAAUGACAGUGAGCCAAAAUAUUACCCUAUAGCAGUUCUGUUGAAAAACCAGAAUCAGGAGCUGCCUGAGGAUGUAAACCCUGCCAAAAAGGAGAAUUACCUCUCUGAACAGGACUUUGUGUCUGUGUUUGGCAUCACAAGAGGGCAAUUUGCAGCUCUGCCUGGCUGGAAACAGCUCCAAAUGAAGAAAGAAAAGGGGCUUUUCUAAAGCAAGAAGGCCUAUACCUAUUGCAAGGCCACAGAAAAGAGCAGAUAGUGCCAAUAUCAGGAAAUAAUUUAUCCACCAAUUUCUGCCUGACAUUCAGCUACUUAAUUUAGAUAUAAUAGAGUCUGCAAAUCACGGCAUGUUCUCCAUUUUUUCUCAUCCUUGCAUUCCUUGCUUGUUAUAUACCUAAAAUGUUAACCAUAUAGUUUUUGGGUUUUGUGGCCCUCUAGCUAAAGCCUCAGCAGAAAGCACUAAAACUGCAUAAAUCUGGAGAAAUCAAAAGAAAGAGAACCAAAAAACAAUGCUUAAAAUGUUUAAUAACUUUAUGUUUAAUAUUAUACCAGGACCUACCUUUGUUUUCAAUUUUAAGAUGAUUAUUUCUAAAAUCUAUUUAGCCUGUAAAUCAUUGAAAUCAUAUAUGCACUCCAUAGGCAAAAUCCAAAUACCCAGAUCUGUAAUGUGUCAAAGCAUUUUUCACUUUUCAAAUAAAGAUACCUAUAAUGAACAAA
rnacentral:lncRNA from 10 species